GACGAACGCUGGCGGCGUGCUUAACACAUGCAAGUCGAACGGAAAGGCCCUUCGGGGUACUCGAGUGGCGAACGGGUGAGUAACACGUGGGUGAUCUGCCCUGCACUUUGGGAUAAGCCUGGGACACUGGGUCUAAUACCUAAUAUGAUCAUCUGCUUCAUGGUCGGUGGUGGAAAGCUUUUGCGGUGUGGGAUGGGCCCGCGGCCUAUCAGCUUGUUGGUGGGGUAAUGGCCUACCAAGGCGACGACGGGUAGCCGGCCUGAGAGGGUGACCGGCCACACUGGGACUGAGAUACGGCCCAGACUCCUACGGGAGGGAGCAGUGGGGAAUAUUGCACAAUGGGCGCAAGCCUGAUGCAGCGACGCCGCGUGAGGGAUGACGGCCUUCGGGUUGUAAACCUCUUUCAGCACAGACGAAGCGCAAGUGACGGUAUGGGGAGAAGAAGGACCGGCCAACUACGUG
rnacentral:rRNA from 1 species